rnacentral:rRNA from 1 species
AGAGUUUGAUUAUGGCUCAGGAUGAACGCUAGCUACAGGCUUAACACAUGCAAGUCGAGGGGCAGCAUGUUGGUUGCUUGCAACCAAUGAUGGCGACCGGCGCACGGGUGAGUAACGCGUAUCCAACCUACCCUUGUCCAUCGGAUAACCCGUCGAAAGGCGGCCUAACACGAUAUGCGGUUCACAGCAGGCAUCUAACGUGAACGAAAUGUGAAGGAGAAGGAUGGGGAUGCGUCUGAUUAGCUUGUUGGCGGGGUAACGGCCCACCAAGGCUACGAUCAGUAGGGGUUCUGAGAGGAAGGUCCCCCACAUUGGAACUGAGACACGGUCCAA